GGGCGAUUAGCUCAGUCGGUAGAGCGCUUCGUUUACACCGAAGAUGUCGGCGGUUCGAGUCCGUCAUCGCCCACCA
rnacentral:tRNA from 1 species